rnacentral:rRNA from 1 species
UCGGUUAGUCGGCACGAGCGCACCUCAUCUUGAUUUACUAACAGGUUAGCUGAGGACUCUGCCAGAAACCGUUUGUUGGAAAAGCGGAGGAAGGCGAGGAUGACGUCAAGUCCUCAUGGCCCUUAUGGGCUGGGCUACACACGUGCUACAAUGGUAAUUACAAAGAGCAGCAAAAGGGCGACCUUGUAGCAAAUCUUCAAAAGUUAUCCUAGUUCAGAUUGUUCUCUGCAACUCGAGAGCAUGAAGUUGGAAUUGCUAGUAAUCGUGGAUCACCAUGCCACGGUGAAUACGUUCCCGGGUCUUGUACACACCGCCCGUCACACCAUGGGAGUUGGUUUUAUCUGAAGCCGAUUUUAUUAUCGUCCACGGUAGAGUCAGCGACUGGGGUGAAGUCGUAACAAGGUAGCCGUAGGGGAACCUGCGGCUGGAACACCUCCUUUCU